GAACGAACGCUGGCGGCGCGUUUAAGCAUGCAAGUCGAGCGGCAGGGGGCUCGGUCCCCCGAGAGCGGCGGACGGGUGAGUAACACGUGGACAACCUGCCCCCCGGUUCGGGAUAGCCCAGGGAAACCUGGAUCAAUACCGGAUGCGAGGGCGGCCGCACAAGCGGCCGUCGGGAAAGGCGCUUCGGCGCCGCCGGGGGAUGGGUCCGCGUCCCAUUAGCUAGACGGUGGGGUAACGGCCCACCGUGGCGAUGAUGGGUAGCCGGCCUGAGAGGGUGGACGGCCACAUUGGAACUGAGACACGGUCCAGACUCCUACGGGAGGCAGCAGCUAAGAAUCUUCCGCAAUGGGCGAAAGCCUGACGGAGCGACGCCCGCGUGAACGAAGAAGGCCGUGAGGUUGUAAAGUUCUUUUCGGGAGGGGGAACAACCGUGGCAGGGAAUGGCCGCGGGAUGACGUGAAUCCCGGAAUAAGCCCCGGCUAACUACGUGCCAGCCGCUGC
rnacentral:rRNA from 1 species